UUGACGGGGCCGCACAAGCGGUGGAGCAUGUGGUUAAUUCGAAGCAACGCGAAGAACCCUACCAGGUCUUGACAUCCCGAUGCUAUUUCUAGAGAUAGAAAGUUACUUCGGUACAUCGGUGACAGGUGGUGCAUGGUUGUCGUCAGCUCGUGUCGUGAGAUGUUGGGUUAAGUCCCGCAACGAGCGCAACCCCUAUUGUUAGUUGCCAUCAUUCAGUUGGGCACUCUAGCGAGACUGCCGGUAAUAAACCGGAGGAAGGUGGGGAUGACGUCAAAUCAUCAUGCCCCUUAUGACCUGGGCUACACACGUGCUACAAUGGUUGGUACAACGAGUUGCGAGUCGGUGACGGCGAGCUAAUCUCUUAAAGCCAAUCUCAGUUCGGAUUGUAGGCUGCAACUCGCCUACAUGAAGUCGGAAUCGCUAGUAAUCGCGGAUCAGCACGCCGCGGUGAAUACGUUCCCGGGCCUU
rnacentral:rRNA from 1 species